ensembl:lncRNA
GACCAGAGCCUUUACAAAAUGUUUCUUGUCACUGUGGCAGGAGGCCUUCAGGCCAGGCUGCAAGACUUAGUGUCCUGCAGCUGUUCUAAGCCUUCCCUAUUGUAGCUUUCUUCAAGGCACAGCUGCAGCCCUCGCUGCCCUGCAGCUUUCCCAAGGCCUCUGUCCUGCCACUUGCCCUUAAUCCCGACAUAGACAUGGCAGAGAGACCUCCCACCCCACCCAAGAAGGUGGAGAAUUGCCCUUGUGGUGCUGCACUCCAGCGACGUGCUGACUUGGAGCAGCUGCAGCUGCUGCAGAAGAGUGAGUGAAAGAGCUGGGCCACAGGGCUGGCCUGGGCCACAGGGCUGGCCUGCAGCCAGCUCCACCCUGCCCCAUCCCGUCCCUUCCCUGCGGACAUGCCCAUGGAUAGGGCAGAAGAGGGGCUGGGGCUGGACCCCCUGGUAGCCUGGGGCAUCCUGGGGCUGUCCCUGCCAGGGGAGACUGCAGGGCUGGGCUGUGCUCUCUGGCCUCUCCUGCAGCUCUUCAGCUCUGGCAUUCCUUGCUCUUUGCCAGAUGCAGCCAAGGACCCGGCACAAGGGCUGGAUCCUGCCCGUAGCUGCUGGCACUCUGUAAGCCAGAAGCUCACAAACUUCACUUGGUGUCGAGAGAUGAUCAGCAUGUUCACCAAGGGUGCAGCAGAGGCUGGCCCCACAGCCCCUCAGAGCAUACCUCCUGCUCCCAGCCUGGAUCAGUUUGGGGAGAGAGUUGUCUCCACUCCCAGUCAAGUGCCAGGCUUUGUUAGGAACAUGCACCAGAGGCUGGCGUCCAACGAGCCUCCAGACGACUGGCUGUUCAUGGACAUCCUGCGGCUGACCGAGGAACAGCCCACUGAUGUGGCAGUGACCCUGCUGCGGUGUGCCCCAACAUGUGACAGAGCUGCUGCAAUCAUGUGGAAGACCAUCGCCUCGUCAGGAACGUCAACGGAAAAGGUGCUGCCCACACUGCUGUGUGUGAUGGACGGCUGGCCCAUGCAGAAAAUGUACACAGCUGAUGGGGACAACAAGGAUGUCUUUGCCCUGGCUGCAACCAGGGUGAUUUGGGAGAUUCUCCGCCUGCCCUGGUGCCCAGAGCCAUUUGUGGAAUAUUCCCCCCAUCUCCUUGUGGCUCUGCUGUACCAAGUUUACGCCAGUACAGAGCAGAUGUCAGAAGAAGUAAAUACUUUCUGGAAGAAAUGUCAGGAGGAAAAGGGCAUUACUGCCAACCCCAACAGCUUUGUAGUGAGCACUGUGAAGUCGUUCCUGUACCACCUGCAAUGUGUGAAUUUACUGAUGGCUCUGGAACGGAAGUGUGCCUGGGACACGCUGCUGCGUGCUGAAACCCACCACUAUGCAAUGGGUCUGCUGGCCAGGGAGAUGCGCCGUGUCUGCCAACCUUUCUGCUCCUGCGUCGCACUCCGCCUGCUCUGCCGGCUCAGCCAGGAGGAGCCAAGCUGGGAAAUGGCCUCCCUGGCGUUCCUGGUGGAGGUCCUGGAUUGCCUGGAUUUGAAUGAAUGGGGUAACAACAUCCUGGAGAUCUUGACCAAGCACCUGCUGAGCGAGUCCAUGGAGAUGCGACGCCUGGCCCUCAGAGGCCUCGUGAUGCUCAGCAAAGACCCCUCAAUGGUGAGAAGGAGGCAGCAGCUGAAGCUGUGCUGGCAGCGUGGGGCUGGGGCAAGCAGCCCCUUGGGCUUGGCUGGGCUUUGGCAGCUGUGGCAGCUGUUCCCAGCUCUCCAGGGUUGCUGUUCAGCUGCCUGCUUUGGGACAGCCAUUGGCCUCUAUAGACUCCAUGGCAGGCGGGUGGGGUUGCGCUGCUGGAGCAGCGCUGGUGGUGAAGCUUUUAAUGGAUUCACAGCACAGCCUUGUGUUCCACAUAGGCCAAAAAAAUGUGCAGCCUGUCUGAACCCCUCAUGGAUUUCCUGAGGAAUGAAGACAUAGAGGUGGUCAAGAUGAGUCUGUCUGUGUUCACAAAUAUACUCGUGAACAAGGAUAUCCUAACAUCCUGCCCCACAGCCCCCAAACUGGCUGCCGCGCUCCGGCCCCUCUUUGACAGUGUAAGGCUCUGUGCCCCCAGCCAUGGCCCCUAGCUGCUGCCCACAAGGGGGGUGCCCUGUGGCCUGUUGGGCCUGUGCACAGGGGGGCCUGGAGAAUCCAGUGCUGAGCUUUUUCCUUUCCAACAGGACAACAAUCAAGUGCAGUGGCUCUCCAUUGGCCUCUACAAAGAUGUGAUGGAAUCAGUAGUGGAAAGGGGAAAACCGGCCCUGAAGCCUCUUGUGAGCGAGAGCCUGCUUCCUCUCUUCUUCCAUUGCUACGACGAGAACCGGCGUGUGGCACAGGUGAGGCCUCCUGCGUGUCCCCUUGGGAGGGGCUCAGCUGUCUGCCCAGCCCCUGGCACCUGACGGGCUCCAGCCUCCCCCCAGCCCCGGCACAGAGAUGCGGCUCCUGUGCCCUGGGCCGCGGUGCCAUCUCUGGCUCUCUGCUGCCCUGCAGACCUCUCGGGAAACGCUGCUCUCUGCAGUAAAGUUCCUGAAGAGAAGGGAUCUCAGACAGCUGCUCAAGUUGGAUGACCCGUGGAGCUUCGCCGAGCACGUGGUAAGGACAGGCUG